GCAGACACAUUCCAGCCAAUCAGCAGCAGACCCUCACUCCCAGAUCCUCCCACCUCCUGGACAGCAUCCAUUUUACAUUCAUUGUGAAGCUGCAUUCUUAGUGAGCUGUCCAGGAGGUGGGAGGGUCUGGGAGAGAGGGUCUGCUGCUGAUUGGCUGGAAUGUGUCUG
rnacentral:miRNA from 1 species